AGGGGAAUAGCUGGGUCAAAUGGUGCCCAGCUUUCCAAGGAAUCUCCAUACUGCUUUCCAAAUUGGCUGUGCCAAUUUGCAGUCCCACCAGCAAU
rnacentral:pre_miRNA from 1 species